rnacentral:rRNA from 1 species
GGUUCGAUCAUGGCUCAGAUUGAACGCUGGCGGGAUGCUGAUACAUGCAAGUCGAACGGCAGCACGGACUUCGGUCUGGUAGUUGAGGUGAACGCGAGUAACGCAUCGGAACGCCUAGUAGCGGGGAUAACUACGCGAAAGCGCAGCUAAUACCGCAUACGCCCUUCGGGGGAAAGCGGGGACCUUCGGGCCUGCAUCAUUAGGAGCGGCUGAUAUCGGAUUAGCUAGUUGCAGGUAACGCAGUCACCAAGGCGACGAUCCGUAGCUGGUUUGAGAGGACGACCAGCCACACUGGGACUGGAGACACGGCCCAGACUCGGCCAUGGGGGGCAGCAGUGGGGAAUUUUGGACAAUGGGGGGAAACUUCAUCCAGCCAUCCGCGUGCGAUGAAGGCCUCGGGUUGUGUAAAGCACUUUUGGCAGGAAGAAACGGCACGGAUAAUACCCCGUGCAACUGACGGUACUGCAGAAUAAGCACCGGCUAACUACGCGCCAGCAGCCGCGGUAAUACGGUGGGCAAGCGUUAAUCGGAAUUACUGGGCGUAAAGCGUGCGCAGGCGGUUCGGAAAGAAGGAUGUGAAAUCCCAGAGCUUAACUUUGGAACUGCAUUUUUAACUACCGAGCUUUAGAGUGUGUCAGAGGGAGGUGGAAUUCCGCGUGUAGCAGUGAAAUGCGUAGAUAUGCGGAGGAACACCGAUGGCGAAGGCAGCCUCCUGGGAUAACACUGACGCUCAUGCACGAAAGCGUGGGAGCAACAGAUUAGAUACCCUGGUAGUCCACGCCCUAAAACGAUGUCAACUUAGCUGUUGGGGCCUUCGGGCCUUGGUAGCGCAGUUAACGCGUGAAGUUGACCGCCUGGGGAGUACGGUCGCAAGAUUAAACUCAAAGGAAUUGACGGGGACCCGCAAGCGGUGGAUGAUGUGAUUAAUUCCGAUGCAACGCGAAAACCUUACCUACCCUUGACAUGUCUGGAAUCCCGAAGAGACUGGAGCUGCCGCAAGAGAACCGGAACACAGGUGUUGCAUGGCUGUCGUCAAGCUCGUGUCGUGAGAUGUUGGGUUAAGUCCCCGCAACGAGCGCAACCCUUGUCAUUAGUUGCUACGAAAGGACACUUAAUGAGACUGUUGGUGACAAACCGAGGAAGGUGGGGAUGACGUCAAGUCCUCAUGGCCUCUAUGGUAGGGCUUCACACGUCAUACAAUGGUCGGGACAGAGGGUCGCCAACCCGCGAGGGGGAGCUAAUCCCAGAAACCCGAUCGUGGUCCGGAUCACAGUCUGCAACUCGACUGCGGAAGUCGGAAUCGCUAGUAAUCGCGGAUCAGCAUGUCGCGGUGAAUACGUUCUGGUCUUGUACACACCGCCCGUCACACCAUGGGAGUGGGGUUUUACCAGAAGUAGUUAGCCCAACCGUAAGGAGGGCGAUUACCACGGUAGGAUUCAUGACUGGGGGUGAAGUCAACAAGGUAA